UACGGGGGGAGCAAACGUUGUUCGGAAUCACUGGGCGUAAAGGGCGUGUAGGCGGCUGGAUAAGUGGGAUGUUAAAUCCCCCGGCUCAACCGGGGACCUGCAUCUCAUACUGUUCAGCUCGAGCACAUCAGAGGAGACUGGAAUCCCCGGUGUAGCGGUGAAAUGCGUUGAGAUCGGAAGGAACGCCCGUGGCGAAAGCGAAGGUCCUGGACGUCUACUGACGCUGAGACGCGAAAAGCUAGGGGAGCAACGGGG
rnacentral:rRNA from 1 species